rnacentral:rRNA from 1 species
UAGAGUUUUGGGAUUUGGCUCAGGAUGAACGCUGGCGGCGUGCCUAAUACAUGCAAGUCGAGCGAACAGAUAAGGAGCUUGCUCCUUUGAUGUUAGCGGCGGACGGGUGAGUAACACGUGGGUAACCUACCUAUAAGACUGGGAUAACUUCGGGAAACCGGAGCUAAUACCGGAUAAUAUUUCGAACCGCAUGGUUCGAUAGUGAAAGAUGGUUUUGCUAUCACUUAUAGAUGGACCCGCGCCGUAUUAGCUAGUUGGUAAGGUAACGGCUUACCAAGGCGACGAUACGUAGCCGACCUGAGAGGGUGAUCGGCCACACUGGAACUGAGACACGGUCCAGACUCCUACGGGAGGCAGCAGUAGGGAAUCUUCCGCAAUGGGCGAAAGCCUGACGGAGCAACGCCGCGUGAGUGAUGAAGGUCUUCGGAUCGUAAAACUCUGUUAUUAGGGAAGAACAUACGUGUAAGUAACUGUGCACGUCUUGACGGUACCUAAUCAGAAAGCCACGGCUAACUACGCAGCGUCCGG